rnacentral:rRNA from 1 species
UUUCCGCCCCUUAGUGCUGCAGCUAACGCAUUAAGCACUCCGCCUGGGGAGUACGGCCGCAAGGCUGAAACUCAAAGGAAUUGACGGGGGCCCGCACAAGCGGUGGAGCAUGUGGUUUAAUUCGAAGCAACGCGAAGAACCUUACCAGGUCUUGACAUCCCGCUGACCGCCUUGGAGACAAGGCUUUCCCUUCGGGGACAGCGGUGACAGGUGGUGCAUGGUUGUCGUCAGCUCGUGUCGUGAGAUGUUGGGUUAAGUCCCGCAACGAGCGCAACCCUUGAUCUUAGUUGCCAGCAUUCAGUUGGGCACUCUAAGGUGACUGCCGGUGACAAACCGGAGGAAGGUGGGGAUGACGUCAAAUCAUCAUGCCCCUUAUGACCUGGGCUACACACGUGCUACAAUGGACGGUACAAAGGGCUGCCAACCCGCGAGGGGGAGCCAAUCCCAGAAAACCGUUCUCAGUUCGGAUUGCAGGCUGCAACUCGCCUGCAUGAAGCCGGAAUCGCUAGUAAUCGUGGAUCAGCAUGCCACGGUGAAUACGUUCCCGGGCCUUGUACACACCGCCCGUCACACCACGAGAGUUUGUAACACCCGAAGUC